AUGGCCGCUGCUGGGGGAAGCAAAUGGUUUUACCCUCGGGCCCCGCGCCGCCGCCAGCCGCUCCACCCCAGCCACGCCCCAGCCACGGCGUUUACGUUCGCGGCCUUCUGCUACAUGCCGGCGCUCCUGCUCAACGCCGCGCUCAUCUUCUUCGCCAUCUGGCACAUUACAGCGUUUGAUGAGUUGAAGACUGAUUACAAGAAUCCUAUAGACUAGUGUAAUACCCUGAAUCCUCUGGUCCUCCCGGAGUAUCUCAUCCAUGCGUUCUUCUGUGUCAUGUCAGAGUGGCUCACGCUGGGUCUCAACAUGCCCCUCUUGGCGUACCAUAUUUGGAGGUACAUGAGUAGACCGGUGAUAAGCCAACCAGGACUCUACGACCCCACUACCAUCAUGAACACAGACAUCCUAGCAUACUGUCAGAAAGAAGGAUGGUGCAAGCUAGCUUUUUACCUCCUAGCAUUUUUUUACUACCUAUAUGGCAUGAUCUAUGUUUUGGUGAGCUCUUAGAACAACACACGGAAGAGUUGGUCCGGUUAAGUGCAUGCAGAAGCCACCAAGUGAAGGGAUUCUAUUCGGCAAGAUCCUGUUUCCAAGAGUAGUCUAUGGAAUCUGAUCAAUUUCUUUAAAAAAAUGACUCUUUAUUUUUUAAAUGUUUCCACAUUUUUUGCUUGUGGAAAGACUUUUCAUAUGUUAUACUAGGAUAAAGAAUUUAAGUGGAUUGCGUAUAAUAUAAAAUGAUUACCUCUAGUGUUAACAGGUGGAACUUGCACUCCUUCAGGAACAGCCAUGUCCUUUGAACGAGUGCACUAAUUCCUGGCCGUCCUUAGUCCACGGGAAGCUUUUGCUGGUAGGAACCUGUACGGCUUAUUUUGGUUUAUUUUUCUGGGGUGCCAGCAAUCAAACUCAGGCCUUCACACUUGCCAGGCAGGCACUGCGCCCCUGAGCUACAUCUCUGGCUCCAUUUUGGUUUAUUGAAAUGCCAUCUUAUUAUAAAUUAGCUGUCGAUAAUCAGGUGCUUCUGAUGAAGUGAAAAUGUGUAUCUGACACGUAGGAAACUUGACAGUUUCCUCAUUUAUCAUGUAGAUGAGUAUAUCUGGAUACAUUUACAAAAAUAAGUGGCAUUU